CUUUUCUUUUUGAUUUUUAUUUUCAACUUAAAAAAGUGUGCAAAUUUUCUUAAAUAUAUUUCCAAUUUUAUCAUGCUAAUUUGUUUAUUUCUUUAUUUGUUUCUUUAAUCAUUUACUUAUUUGUUUAUUUUAUUUUAUUUUUUUUUAUUUGGGGUGAACUAAAUGGCUAAUAUCAUUAUAAGACAUUAUUUUUUUUAUUUUUAGAUAUUAAUUUUCAUAUUCUAUUUUGUAUUCACUUUUAAGUAUUACUUUAUAUAACUUUUAUAAAAUGUGAUUUUUUAAUUUUCAUACAUGGAAAAUAGUUUAUAUUGAUUUUUACAUAAAGUCUAAUAUAUAUAUAUAUAUAUAUAUGCUUUUUACAUGUUUUUCUUUUUUUUCCCCUUUUUUGAAAUUUACCUUUAUUUGUUCACUUCAAGUAUACCAUCUUUUUUAUUUUUUAAUAAACCAUUUUAUAUGUUAAAGGUCUAUUUGUUUGUACUUUUAAAUUAUAUGAUUAUAUAUAAGCUGUUUUAUUUUGCUAAACUAUUUUUUUUUUUUUUUUUUGUUAUAUAUAAACUAAGAACAAAUGAGCAACAUUCAUACGUUAGCAGAGUAUAGGGAUGACGGUGGAGAAAAUUUACCAUUCAAUAGAAGUAAACAUAUGCACAUAUACAUAUGCAUAUUUACAUAUACAUAUGUACCUACAUAUAUAUAUAUAUAUUAAUUUUUUUUUUUUUUUUUUUUCCCUUAUUUUUCUCUUAUUUUUAUAAGCAUCAGGGUAUUAUGAAUCACAGAGCAGUUUCAUUCAAAGAUCAAAGCCAAUCGAUGUAGUUCAAUUUAUUUUUCCACACUUUACAUGGAAAAGUUUUAUCAUUAUUGUUUCAAUUGUACAAAUAAUUAUUUUUAUUGUAUCAGUUAGCAUUAAACCUAGUGGAUUUUUAAUGCCAUCAAGGGAACUGUUAACAUACUUAGGUGCAAAUAUUGGUGAAAAAAUAAAAGCAGGACAAAUUCAUAGACUAAUAUUACCAAUUUUUUUACAUGCAAAUUUUGUUCACGUAUUCUUUAAUGUAUUCUUUCAACUAAGAGUUGGAUUUACACUUGAAAAAAAUUAUGGAAUCCCACAUGUUAUACUUCUAUACUUUUUAACUGGUAUAUAUGGAAAUAUUUUAUCGUCAGCUAUUACAUAUUGUACCUUUAAAGUUGGUGCAAGUACAUCAGGUAUGGGGUUGUUAGGUAUAGUUUGUGCUGAGUUAAUGUUACUUUGGCAUAUCAUUAGACAUAGGGAAAGGGUGUUAUUUAAUAUAAUAUUUUUCACUACAAUAUCCAUUUUUUAUUAUUUUACUUUCAAUGGAUCAUCUGUUGAUCACGUUGGUCAUUUGGGAGGUUUACUUUCAGGUAUUGUGUAAAUUGUAAAAAAAAAUGCACCUUUUUAUAUGUGAUUAUGUAUAUCUAUGUACAUACACAC
rnacentral:lncRNA from 1 species